GAUGAAGAACGCAGCGAAAUGCGAUAAGUAGUGUGAAUUGCAGAAUUCAGUGAAUCAUCGAAUCUUUGAACGCGCAUUGCGCCCCUUGGUAUUCCAUGGGGCAUGCCUGUUCGAGCGUCAUUUGUACCUUCAAGCUCUGCUUGGUGUUGGGUGUUUGUCUCGCCUCUGCGUGUAGACUCGCCUCAAAAUAAUUGGCAGCCGGCGUAUUGAUUUCGGAGCGCAGUACAUCUCGCGCUUUGCACUCAUAACGACGACGUCCAAAAGUACAUUUUUACACUCUUGACCUCGGAUCAGGUAGGGAUACCCGCUGAACUUAAGCAUAUCAAUAAGCGGAGGA
rnacentral:misc_RNA from 1 species